GCAGACCCACAAGCCAGAAUUUUACAUUGGAUAGAAUUCUUUCGAUUAGAAUGCCAACUUUCCCGAAUAACCUCACUGCAAUCCGCCUCACGCAUCCAUAUAUUUUCGAACCGAAAAUGCCUAUUCCUCGUAACAUAUUGAGCUGGACUAGGAUCAAAAAAUAUAGGGAGGUGGUCAGAAUAAGAAGAUUUUAAACUAUAUACCUUUGCUCUGGUGAAACGCUGCAGCCACGCCUCAGAAGCAAAGGCUCUGUCAAGUCUUUCUUCAACCCAUCGAUCAGUUCCCCUAGCCCUCUCCCAAGUAUACUAAUAUCCCUCGACACCAAGAUCAAUCAAAUUGCAGUCUUCAAUAGCUCUCUAGAAGCCCAUUAACUUCCAAUUAGGAUGAACAAUUUUACCCCUCUUCUCAUUUGCCGUCAAAAGAUCAUUAAAAUCCCCUAUGCAUAGCCAUGGAAGAGAGGAUGAAGUAGAGAGUAAGCGGAGCAAGUCCCACGAUUCCCGCCUCCUGCUAGUCUCAGGAUAGCCAUAAAAGCCAGUCAGCCUCCACUUGCCUAUCUCCUGAACUUCAAUUUCAGCAUCUAUAAAAUUGGUAGCAUACUUUAGAAGCUUCACAGAACUAGUUGUCUGCCAAAGAAGCACGAGUCCUCCGCUUCGGCCCACUCGUUCAACAACAAAAAGCUCGUCAUAGCCCAACUGUCUUUUAAUACUUUCGAGUUUACUUUUACUACAUAACGUUUCUAUAAGGAAUAUAAAAGAAGGUUUCU
rnacentral:lncRNA from 1 species